GUCCACGCCGUAAACGAUGAGAACUAGGUGUCGUGGGUGUUGACCCCUGCGGUGCCGUAGCUAACGCAUUAAGUUCUCCGCCUGGGAAGUACGGUCGCAAGACUAAAACUCAAAGGAAUUGAUGGGGGCCCCGCACAAGCGGUGGAGCAUGUGGUUUAAUUCGACGCAACGCGCAGAACCUUACCUGGUCUUGACAUCUAUCGAAGCUGCCCGAAAAGGCGGCGUGCCCGCAAGGGAACGGUAAGACAGGUGCUGCAUGGCUGUCGU
rnacentral:rRNA from 1 species